CUCAUAGUGAGAAGUGUUGAUCUAGUAUGAGUCAUCAAUUUACAUGCUUCUCGUUAAAUGUUAAUGGUUUAAAUAGUCCUCUAAAAAGAAGCGCUACUAUACAAGAAAUUAACAAAUCAAAGGCAGCAAUAAUUUGUCCGCAGGAAACUCUGUAAGCAGAAUCCUCCAAUUUUUAAUCCAAGAGGUUAUCCUCAAAUGUUUUAUACGCUAUCUCCCCAUAAGUCUAAAGAAUUGUCAAUAAUGUUCCAUUCAGAUUGGGUAUUCCAACUAGAUGAGAUGGGUAGACUAUUGGUUGCAGUAGGCUUGAUGAACGGAAUACAAAUCACAGUGGCC